GAGUUUGAUCCUGGCUCAGAUUGAACGCUGGCGGCAUGCCUUACACAUGCAAGUCGAACGGCAGCGCGGACUUCGGUCUGGCGGCGAGUGGCGAACGGGUGAGUAAUACAUCGGAACGUACCCUGUUGUGGGGGAUAACUAGUCGAAAGAUUAGCUAAUACCGCAUACGACCUGAGGGUGAAAGCGGGGGACCGAAAGGCCUCGCGCAGCAGGAGCGGCCGAUGUCUGAUUAGCUAGUUGGUGGGGUAAAGGCCCACCAAGGCGACGAUCAGUAGCUGGUCUGAGAGGACGAUCAGCCACACUGGGACUGAGACACGGCCCAGACUCCUACGGGAGGCAGCAGUGGGGAAUUUUGGACAAUGGGGGCAACCCUGAUCCAGCAAUGCCGCGUGUGUGAAGAAGGCCUUCGGGUUGUAAAGCACUUUUGUCCGGAAAGAAAUUGCUCUGGCUAAUACCUGGGGUAGAUGACGGUACCGGAAGAAUAAGCACCGGCUAACUACGUGCCAGCAGCCGCGGUAAUACGUAGGGUGCGAGCGUUAAUCGGAAUUACUGGGCGUAAAGCGUGCGCAGGCGGUUUUGUAAGACAGGCGUGAAAUCCCCGGGCUCAACCUGGGAAUUGCGCUUGUGACUGCAAGGCUAGAGUGCGUCAGAGGGGGGUAGAAUUCCACGUGUAGCAGUGAAAUGCGUAGAGAUGUGGAGGAAUACCGAUGGCGAAGGCAGCCCCCUGGGACGUG
rnacentral:rRNA from 1 species